ensembl:snRNA U6 U6 spliceosomal RNA
GUGCUCUUUCAGCAGCACAUACACUAAUAUAGGAACGAUACAGGAGAGAGUAUCAUAGCCUCUACAAGAGGUUGGCACACAAAUUCAUGAAGCAUCCCAUAUAUUU